AUUCAAAGGAGUACCAACUAAAGUUAAGGCUAAGAAAGGGAAGUGAAGAAGGACUUUUAAGAGCUCUUUCUUGAUUAUUCUCUAAAGUCUUAGAAGGAUUCUAUUCUAAUAUGUCUAUAUGUUAUUUUGUAGGGUCCAAUAAGGCUAGAACACCAUGGACCAACCCAACCUAAGGAGAAGGGUAAAAGAGACAUUUUCCACAAAGGGAGGGGGGUGAAUUUAUCAAAUAGGGAGCUGCCCAAGAAGANUUCACAUGUUUCACCAUCACGGCAUCUGAUACGUGAUUUGGUAGAAACAUUGUUGCACCUCCAUGCAUCUGCAUUGCUUCACCAAGAAGAAUGACAUACAUUCCUCACCGUUGCCACGUGGGAAGAUCCGCAUCUCUUUAGCUGCCAUCUCCACCGUCCAUAGCAUAGGAUUUGCUUUAUAAAUAUGAAUGUAUCAGAUUAUGAUAGUACCUUUGAUUUGAAUGAAGAAUUAUUCUGUUGAUAUCUGUCCNGAAAUUUCUUCUNGUUGAAGGUCACCGAGAGAGAGCUUGAGAGUUUCCUCUAGCCUCUCUCCCUAGCUAGGCUUCCAUUCCUAGCAUAUCUCUAUCCAUCCGCAUCACAUUUCAGCAUCCAAACCUCCUCUNCAUCAACUUUAUCUUCAUCCNCGAGUCUUCCAUUUGCUUUCAUCUAGCNACCAACACCGUUUAAAUAGUGGUUUCCANAAUUUCUGCUUCCUACGGUCAUCAUCAUCAUAAUUCAACUUAUUCCGCUNCAUUACAUCAUCAUUUUGAGUCACGUAUAACCGUUCAGAGAAGAAGAUCUGGUUGAUUGCUUCCACCUCCAGAAUCAGCCAAAUCGUUCUUCCAUCAUGUGGUAUCAGAGCUGUGGUCGUCCACGCAUCCAUAGCUAAGUGUUCUUCUAUUUUCUGCUCCAAUUUUUCAUUCUACUCAUGCUCUCUGUUUCCAGUCCCUGUUUCAUUCUUUUUGUUUCUGUUUUGGUACUUAAAUUGUGAUUCCAGUUCUGAUUCCUGUAUUUCCAUUGUGUCUUCAUGUUGUUUUUAUCAUUUUAAACGGUGAAUAUCCAUUGCUUGAGUCAUUUUUAGCUUCAAUUUUCAAUUUUCGUAUUGUCUAAGUCAUGUGCAUCUCAUAGUUGCAAUUUUAAUUUUGUUUCUGUUUGGUUACUGAUUCAGCGUGUUUAAUUCGUUUUAAUUGAGUGUCAAGUGCUAAACCAGUGUAUAUAUACCAAAUAAGGCAAUGAAGACUAGAUCUAGCCUUGGUAAUACAAGCUGAAGCACUAAAAGCAAAUCUGCUGUGGUUUCCGUUUGAAAUUCUGAUGCAGAAUUCCAUUUCUGGUUUCAAUUUUUAAAUCUGUUUCAAGUUGCUUUUAAUUGAUUCUACUAAUUUGCACAAGUUUGGUUGAUGUUGUUGAAUGAUGCUAAAAGUGUAGCAAACCAUUACAAGCAAUGAAAUGCAAUUUGCAUAGCUUGGUUGUGCAUAAACACUAGCAUUUUACUGUUUCAGCUUUAUUUUCCAGCUUUUCACCGUGCUAAACAUCCUUGAGUGGUUCAUUUUGAGUUUGGUCAUGCUAAGCUUCUUAAUCCUUGCUUAGUUCUGUAUGUUUACACUUUCUUGAGUUAAUUCAUGGUUGUCCAGCCUUUGAAUCUUUGUAAAAUUGAAUUUGGAUGGUUUGAUGAAGCAUUUUACUGCAUAAAUGGUACAACAGUAGUAAAAUUCGAAAAUAUGCCACUUCUUUGCUGUUUUAUAGCUUGAGCAAGUUUCAAUUGAUGGUUCAAAGUUGCUAGUACUGUUCAUUUGGUCAAAACAUGACUUAUAUGCAAAUUUGCAUUUGAAACCAUCAAUAUUUGGGUAAAAAUGGAAGUGGAAUGAUGAUUUUGAGUUGCCAACAGAUUAUACUUCAUUUUAAAGUUUAAACACAUUCAAAAUCAUCAAUCAAAGUUGCUUGAACUGUUAGUUGUGAGUUUAAAACAAUUCCACACAAAAGUGGAAAUCAAACCACCAAAAUCAACCCAUUUUUCUGGUGCAGUCACGGGUUGCAGCUGCUGUUUGGUAUUUUUCUGUGCAAAUUUCAUUUUGGAUUGCAGCAAGAGCUAGUUCAAUGCUUAAAAAUGAAAAUAAAUGAUAAAAAAAAAGUAAUAUCAAGUUUUAGAAAGCUUAUAGAACCGUGCAAUCCAGAUUACAAGCCCUGAAAUUCAAAAUCUCAAAAUCUGAAAUUCUUUUGGGCAUUUCAUCAAACACUUUUAGAAAUUUAUCAAACAGUUUGUCUGGUUGCAUUUGUGAACUGUCUUUGAUUUUUUCUUGCUUUAUUCAUUUACUCUAGUGCCAUUAUUAGGUUCCUUUUGAGUGCUUGUUGUUAUUCCAUCCCUGUUUCCAUUUGAUUUCCUCAUUCUUGGCUUCCAAAUUGUCAAACAUUCAAAAAUCUGGUUUGAAAUUCUGGUGCAGUUUGUUAAUUCUGUUUGGUGCUGUUUAGAUGCCUAUUGGUGCAGAUUUUGUGCUAGGGUGAUUGCUCAUGCUAGUGGUAGCAUCUUGAGGGGUGGAAACUUGUAUAGCUCUUGAUCUAAGUGCCUCUACAGCAAGGAAAAAUAUCUUACUAAAACACUAUUCUGCAGUGAGAAAAAGAGUGAAAAAUUGGCAACUCCUAUAGCCAAAUUUUGAGAGGCCACCUCCCUAUCAAAGUGAAUGAAAGAUUGAGUGAUUGGAACCUAAAAGAAACUUGCUAGAGGAGAGCCAACACCCUAAAAAAGUUCAGAAAUCUUUGUUGUUUGACAUGUUGCAGCUAUGAUUUGAAAGAGCAAUGUACAAUUGGCUGCAGCAGUGGAAACUGUGAAUUUUGAAUCAAUGACAGCAUAGUCCAACACCGUGACAAGCAGCAAGCAAACUUUCCAAUCCAGCUCAUCCUGCAGCACGUGUAAUUGACAACAAAGUCAUUAAACCGUGGAAAACCUUGAACCAUUGGCUGCAACAGUGAGAAACUGGAUGAACACCAACCUAUGCUGUUUGAUGAGAAUUGGAUACCUGGUGCAGCAGAUUACCAAUUGAGAGCAAACUGAAUCCAUUCUGCACAUCAAUUGUGCAAAGCCAAGAGCAAAAGGGAAGAGUUUUAAUUUUGUUUUGCAGCUUUAUGGUAAUACCGUUGACCGUAUACUGAAUUUGGUGUACACUCUUUGUGUAGUUUAUCCUUGGAAAGCAAAAGGAAUUUUACUGCAUCAAGGGCACAAGGCCGAGAAGAAAUCUUUCCUUACUAGCAAUCAAUAUCUCCAUAUCCUCAAGAAACUCAAGGAACCACGCUGCUAGGAUCANAUGUAUCUGGUCUGCAUCAGAAAGUUGGACAAACCGUGACAGCAACACUUUAGCUUGUUUGUUUAUUUUGUUUUUGAAUUUGUAAUAGGUUUUUCUUAUGUUAGUUUCAUUUAUUUGUAAAAGGCCAUUNAAAGUCCAAGUGGUGUGAAAGAGUCCUUGGUGCUCUUUCAACUCUUGGCAAGUGUUCUUGUUUGAUUUGUGCUUGUGUUUAAAUUCUUGUUUUCACAUGUUUAGGAGUGACUUGGGAUACAAAAGUUCAAACUCUAAGCCAUGUCACAUUAGGUGUUCGAAAUUAGAAGUCUAGGUGUUUUUAACUUUCUUUUUGUUUGUUUGAGUCCAUUUUUAAAUUCAAUAGUGAAUCUUACUUUGAAAA